UCCAUCGAUUUUCCUUCAAUUUGACGUCACGAUUUUCGUCGACGCAGUUUGACAGUUCUCUUCAGUUGGUCUUGUUUGGACUUGAUCAAAUCAGAGAAACUUUGAACCGAAUCGAACCAGUUUACGUUGUUGAAAAGUUCGUGUGGAUUUUUGCCGGUUGAUUGAUUUUCUGAUUUCGGCCUUCGUGGUGGAGGAGGAGGAGAACGGGUCACAUCGUUGCUCCGGCGGGCCAUGCCGGAAGACGGGAAGGGGAGCACCCGGUCUGUGAUCGAGGAAGCGGAUUGGUGUUUAACUUUCCGCGGGAUGUGGCGGUGCAUGGUUUUUAUACGGUAACCAAAAAUAUUCCAAUCGAAUCCUGCUGACAACCCAGCGUUUCCGUAUUGUCCCACGGAACGGAAGCUGUAACGAUCGCAAAAACACCUGCACUGGAAGUGCGUAUACCAACGUUGUCCCGUAGGCCAUCAAUCUGUGAGAAUUAAAUAGAAGCGCCGCUCCAGUGCCGUAUCUACACGCUGGU